GUGCCAGCCGCCGCGGUAAUACCGGCAGCUCGAGUGAUGACCGAUUUUAUUGGGCCUAAAGCGUCCGUAGCUGGCCGCGCAAGUCUGUCGGGAAAUCCACCCGCUUAACGGGUGGGCGUCCGGCGGAAACUGUGCGGCUUGGGACAGGAAGGCUCGAGGGGUACGUUCGGGGUAGGAGUGAAAUCCCGUAAUCCUGGACGGACCGCCGAUGGCGAAAGCACGUCGCGAGGACGGAUCCGACAGUGAGGGACGAAAGCCAGGGUCUCGAACCGGAUUAGAAACC
rnacentral:rRNA from 1 species